UACGUAGGGGGCCAGCGUUGUCCGGAAUCAUUGGGCGUAAAGAGCGUGUAGGCGGCCAGAUAAGUCCGCUGUGAAAUCUCGAGGCUCAACUUCGAGCUGUCGGUGGAAACUGUCUGGCUAGAGUCCGGAAGAGGAGAAUGGAAUUCCUGGUGUAGCGGUGAAAUGCGCAGAUAUCAGGAAGAACACCCGUGGCGAAGGCGGCUUCCUGGACCUGUUCUGACACUGAGGAGCGAAAGCGUGGGGAGCGAUCCGG
rnacentral:rRNA from 1 species